GAGAACGAGAAAGAGAGAGAGAGAGAGAGAGAGAGAGAGAGAGAUAGACAGAGAGAAAGAAGGAGAGUAAGAGAAAGAGAGUUAGAGAGAGAGAGAGAAAAAAUAUUUCCAUAUUUGGACAAAGUUUCCACUGAAUACAUUUUUGAAGUUCAUGAAAUUUCACUUGAAAAAAGCUGACCAAAAGCACUCCACCGACAUGUAGGACAUGUAGCGUCCAGUUGGAACAUACAUCAAGCAGUUAAGUACACAGAUUAACUAAAGAUUUCAAAGCCAAUGCAACAAAGUUGUUCUGGUCAAGUUAGUAGUGGACAGACCAGCUGAGGAGAGAGGAGAGGAGAGAAAGGAGAGAUUAAGAGAGAGAGAUUAAGAGAAAUUUAAGUGUUAUAUCUCAGGUUGUAGUAGUAGUAUUAGUAGAAGUGGUGGUGGUGGUGAUAGCAGUGUGUCAAAGUGUGGACAAAGAGCAGAGAGGUGGACAGCAGAGUGUGAGAAGAAACUAAGACCCUACAGCAAGGUUUUGGGCAGAGUGUGUGUGUAUGUGUGUAUGUACAUGUUAGAUAUAUAUCUAUAUAUAUAUAUAUAGUAGUAGUAGUAGUAGUUGGGGCCCUACGCUAAGGCAGACAUCUAGACACAAUGAUUCAAACCACCAACGCACAGACACAUUCCAACACUCAUCAAGCAAAUUACGUCAGUCAUUAUUCACCCUUAGUCUAUUGUAGCUUACGGUCAAUGCAACCAAGCAAGCCACCCACAAACUAUUACGGGGACACGCACACAUAUACCCUCUGUAAACAGAAGCCCCUGCACACACGCAGCCAGACGAGUGGGUGGGUGGGUGGUAAGGAGGCGAGGAGCAAAAAGGGGACCAAUAUUGUCGGGAUGUAAAAAUUUGUAUAAGCAACCUAACUACAGACAUUAGGGAGUGGUGGGUCAGGUAGGAUUUACUAGAUUUAGACUCCACCAGACAAACAGACGGACAGAGUGGGGGGAGGGGGAGUCGUGAAGGCCCAGUCUCUUUGAGUUGAGUUCUAAGUGUCCGUUUUACAAUGGGGGGGAGAGGGGGAAACGAGGAAAGGAAAGAGAGAGACAAGAGAGAGAGAGAGAGAGAGAGAGGAGGAAGAAGAGGAAAGAGGGAGGAGGAGGAAGAGGAGCCAAAAUAAAAAAAUAAAAAAAAAGGAUGUGAAGAAAUCAAAUGACAGGCAAUGAGAUAUGAAAUGGCCAGUAGAUGGCGCUUGCAGAUGAAAAAAAAUUGCAUCAACAUACACAGAUACUCUCAAGAACCGCUUUCUGCCCUUCAUCAAUAUAAUUGUUAUUAUUAUUAUUAGUAGUUAGUAGUAGUAGUAGUAGUAGUAUUAUCAUUAUUUCUUUAUUAGUACAUUAGUGGAAUUUUCUUUGAUAAUAUUGGUUGUUUCCAAAAAAAAAAGUCUGACAAGCAUCAUUUAAAAAUUAAAAAAUAAAAAUGAAAAUAAAA